UCCUCAAUAGUCCAGUGGUUAGGAUAGGUGCCUCUCACGCACUUGGCCGGGGUUCGAUUCCCCGUUGGGGAA